AGGCAGCAGUGGGGAAUAUUGCACAAUGGGGGAAACCCUGAUGCAGCCAUGCCGCGUGUGUGAAGAAGGCCUUCGGGUUGUAAAGCACUUUCAGUAGGGAGGAAGGUAGUGUAGUUAACACCUGCACUAUUUGACGUUACCUACAGAAGAAGCACCGGCUAACUCCGUGCCAGCAGCCGCGGUAAUACGGAGGGUGCGAGCGUUAAUCGGAAUUACUGGGCGUAAAGCGCAUGCAGGCGGCCUGUUAAGUCAGAUGUGAAAGCCCGGGGCUUAACCUCGGAAUUGCAUUUGAAACUGGCAGGCUAGAGUCUUGUAGAGGGGGUAGAAUUUCAGGUGUAGCGGUGAAAUGCGUAGAGAUCUGAAGGAAUACCAGUGGCGAAGGCGGCCCCCUGGACAAAGACUGACGCUCAGAUGCGAAAGCGUGGGGAGCAAACAGGAUUAGAUACCCUGGUGG
rnacentral:rRNA from 1 species